UAAGAAAAUUUUAGGUCAGUUUUUAAUACUAUAGGCUGGUACGACCUCUUUUCAUGCUGCUCCCACCGGUCUAGUUGUGUAGGAAAUUGGAGGGAAGAGAAAAAUGAUGUGUCAGAAGUGGGAUUCGAACCCACGCCUCCAUUCGGAGACCAGAAUCCCCAGCGCGGGGAAGCGGAGCUUGAGUCUGGCGCCUUAGACCACUCGGCCAUCCUGACACCCUGCGGAAGAGGAGAGAUUUUCUGCUAAAGUCGAUGUGGAGGAGUGGCGCUUCUGUGACGUACACCGGCGCGCUGGCGGGAGCGCUGCCGCCAGAGGCGCCGCCGGCCCGGAAGGAGGACAGAGCCACCUGUGGAUGGGAAAGGAAACUCCGCGGGAGGAGCGCAGGUGCCGCGGCGCGAGCGCGGACACGGUUUCCCGCGGCCCACGGCGGCGGGCGCGCCUCGAGAACCGACAGCCGGCUUCCCCAGCCCUCUGCUCGGCUCCCAGCCGCUUGCCCUCACGCGCGUGGCGGCGCGCUCGUGCUUUGCUUUUGACGAGAGAGGAACGACGACACACGGAACAGAAGACCGCAAUUCCUUGGCACGGCCCCCGCGUCCGCACAAGUGCCCUGCACUCCCGGCAGUCUGUUGGGUUCCGAAAGCGCCUGCGCCCGGGCUCAUCUGUGUAGCGACAGGGACCGGGACAGGGGCAGGUAGAGGGGCACGGGCAAAGGCAAAGGCAGGUACAGCGGCAGGAGCAGGGACAGGACAGCGGCAGCGACGGGGCAGGAUCAGGAACAGGACAGGGGCAGGAGCAGGGACAGGACAGGGGCACGGGCAGGGACAAAAGCAGGGGCCCUACUCCCGGUCCUCGGGCCGCUCUCCGGCGCUCAGGUCCGAGCCCUGCGCGUCCUCUGUGAGGUCGGGGAAGACGAUGGCCCCGCGCCACACCUGCCGACGCAGGCUUUCCCCGCUUUGCCAGCUCUGUGCGGAGUCGUCCGAGCACCGGGCCCGGAAGCCGCGAGCCGCGACGAUAAGCCCGCGUCCUCCCGCUGCACCGAGAGCCCCCGGGGGCUGGGACACGGCGCGGAAGCAGCCCUUGCAGGCCUGCAGCGGGUCCGGGAGCGGCCUGCGCGCAAGAAGCAGAAUCCCGAGAUGAAAGUUUAUCCAGUUUUAAAGGCUUUUGAUACAUACUGUCCAAGUGCCUACCAGAAAAUCUGAAGCAAUCUAGAGACGUCCAGCCUGACCAACAAAGGAUACUAUGAUUAAACAACAGAACAUUUUCAUGGGUGAAAGGUGGCAUAUUGUUCCACAGCUUUACUAGUGAGGCUGAACAUUCAUGUUUGUUGUUAACUGCUUAUUAAAUUUCUACUGAUGUGUUCAUCUUUC